rnacentral:rRNA from 1 species
UACAGAGGUGGCAAGCGUUGUUCGGAAUUACUGGGCGUAAAGGGCGCGUAGGCGGUUCGAUAAGUCCCGUGUGAAAUCCCUCGGCUCAACUGAGGAACUGCACGGGAAACUGACGGGCUUGAGUUCGGGAGAGGGAAGCGGAAUUCCGGGUGUAGCGGUGAAAUGCGUAGAUAUCCGGAGGAACACCGGUGGCGAAGGCGGCUUCCUGGACCGACAUUGACGCUGAGGCGCGAAAGCCAGGGGAGCAAACGGG